UACGGGGGGGGUAAGCGUUGUUCGGAAUUAUUGGGCGUAAAGGGCGCGUAGGCGGCCAUUCAAGUGACGGGUGAAAGCCCUCGGCUUAACCGAGGAACUGCCUGUCAGACUGGAUGGCUUGAGACCGGGAGAGGUGAGUGGAAUUCCCAGUGUAGCGGUGAAAUGCGUAGAUAUUGGGAGGAACACCAGUGGCGAAGGCGGCUCACUGGACCGGAACUGACGCUGAGGCGCGAAAGCGUGGGGAGCAAACAGG
rnacentral:rRNA from 1 species